GUCUAUGGCCAUACCACCCUGAACGCACCUGAUCUCGUCUGAUCUCAGAAGCUAAGCAGUGUCGGGCCUGGUUAGUAGUUGGAUGGGAGACCUCCUGGGAAUACCAGGUGCUGUAGGCC
rnacentral:rRNA from 1 species